rnacentral:misc_RNA from 1 species
GAUGAAGAACGUAGCGAAAUGCGAUAAGUAAUGUGAAUUGCAGAAUUCAGUGAAUCAUCGAAUCUUUGAACGCACCUUGCGCCCUUUGGCUAUUCCGAAGGGCAUGCCUGUUUGAGUAUCAUGAACACCUCAACUCUUCACGGCUUGCCGUGAUGAGUUUGGACUUUGGGGGUCUUGCUGGCCUACGAGCCAGCUCCUCUCAAAUGUAUUAGCUUGCCGGUGUUUGGUGGCAUCACAGGUGUGAUAACUAUCUACGCUUGUGGUUUUCCACUAGGUAACCUUCAGCAAUGGAGGUACACCGGAGCUCACAAAUGUCUCUCCUUGCCAAGGACAGAUUUUGACCAUUUGAUCUCAAAUCAGGUAGGACUACCCGCUGAACUUAAGCAUAUCAAUAAGCGGAGGA